UACGGAGGGUGCAAGCGUUAUUCGGAAUUACUGGGCGUAAAGCGCGUGCAGGCGGCCACACAAGUCUGAUGUGAAAGCCCGGGGCUUAACCUCGGAAGGGCAUUGGAAACUGUAUGGCUUGAGUACUGGAGAGGAAGGGGGAAUUCCCGGUGUAGAGGUGAAAUUCGUAGAGAUCGGGAGGAAUAUCGGUGGCGAAGGCGCCUUUCUGGACAGUUACUGACGCUGAGACGCGAAAGCGUGGGGAG
rnacentral:rRNA from 1 species